CAGAGAGAGAGAGAGAGAGAGACAGGAGGGCAGAGAGAGAGAGGAUGGAAAAGGUGUAGGGCGUACUGUAUAUCAGCCCAAAAAGGACACAGAAGGCCUGAGGAAGGUUGGGCAGCUCGUCCAUCACCACACUGCCUUCCAGGAUGAUUCCUACUCUGGACGGGUUCAGCUGAGGACUUUCUUCAUCAAUGCAGAGGAUUCCCACUGGAGUCUGACUGUAUAAGUCCUUGCAAGUUGCAUCCUGACAAGAGAAAGAUUGACAGUACAGGACACAAUCAUACCAGUUAGAUAUUUAAAAUGAAAAGCCUCAGAAAAUAAGUGAACUGAAUGUAAUUAUUGAAAGGACAAUAAAGACUGGUCAUAUUUG